rnacentral:rRNA from 1 species
ACCAGACUCCUACGGGAGGCAGCAGUGAGGAAUAUUGGUCAAUGGGCGGAAGCCUGAACCAGCCAAGUCGCGUGAGGGAAGAAGGCCCUGCGGGUCGCAGACCUCUUUGGACGGGGAGCAAGGCCGCCGACGUGUCGGCGGAAGGAGAGUACCCGUAGAACAAGCAUCGGCUAACUCCGUGCCAGCAGCCGCGGUAAUACGGAGGAUGCGAGCGUUAUCCGGAUUUAUUGGGUUUAAAGGGUGCGUAGGCGGGCUUUUAAGUCAGCGGUAAAAAUUCGGGGCUCAACCCCGUCCGGCCGUUGAAACUGGGGGCCUUGAGUGGGCGAGAAGUAUGCGGAAUGCGUGGUGUAGCGGUGAAAUGCAUAGAUAUCACGCAGAACUCCGAUUGCGAAGGCAGCGCACCGGCGCCCUACUGACGCUCAGGCACGAAAGCGUGGGUAUCGAACAGGACUAGAUACCCCGGUAA